UACGAAGGGGGCUAGCGUUGCUCGGAAUCACUGGGCGUAAAGGGCUCGUAGGCGGCUCAGUAAGUCGGGUGUGAAACCUCCAGGCUCAACCUGGAGACGCCACUCGAUACUGCUGGUGGCUAGAGUCCGGUAGGGGAGACUGGAAUUCCUGGUGGUAGCGGUGAAAUGCGCAGAUAUCAGGAGGAACACCGGUGGCGAAGGCGGGUCUCUGGGCAGUGAACUGACGCUGAGGAGCGAAAGCGUGGGGAGCGAACAGG
rnacentral:rRNA from 1 species